rnacentral:lncRNA from 1 species
CUCCCUAAACUCUGAAUUUUUCUCCUCUUCCUCCUUGCUUCUUUUCAUUUGCUGCUUCUGGUUUAAUUGCUAACAAUUGCUAUCAGAGCUAAGUUUUCCUUGGCCCAUUGAAUCUGAAAACAUGACAGAUGCUACAUGAUCACAGACGUCAAUUUGAGAAAUGGAAGAGUCUCUGCGAUUCUAUGUGCAGGAGACUAAUACACAAACACAGCAGGAACUGACUCAACUAAGGAGAUCCAUGAACGAGAUGCAAGAGACCAUGAGUGGGCUCUCACUACAGAUCAUGACUAUAAUACAGAACCAUAGUGAUCAAGGAACCACAGCUUCCUCUUCGGCAACUCCAACUCCAGCUUCUGUAAUGGAGGACAAC